rnacentral:rRNA from 1 species
GAUGAAUGCUGGCGGCGUGCCUUACACAUGCAAGUCGAACGGCAGCACGGGGGCAACCCUGGUGGCGAGUGGCGAACGGGUGAGUAAUGCAUCGGAACGUGCCCAGUAGUGGGGGAUAACCCGGCGAAAGCCGGGCUAAUACCGCAUACGACCUACGGGUGAAAGCGGGGGACCGUAAGGCCUCGCGCUAUUGGAGCGGCCGAUGUCUGAUUAGCUAGUUGGCGGGGUAAAGGCCCACCAAGGCGACGAUCAGUAGCUGGUCUGAGAGGACGACCAGCCACACUGGGACUGAGACACGGCCCAGACUCCUACGGGAGGCAGCAGUGGGGAAUUUUGGACAAUGGGCGCAAGCCUGAUCCAGCCAUGCCGCGUGCGGGAAGAAGGCCUUCGGGUUGUAAACCGCUUUUGGCAGGAACGAAACGGCGCAAGCUAAUACCUUGCGCUAAUGACGGUACCUGCAGAAUAAGCACCGGCUAACUACGUGCCAGCCGCCGCAGUAACAC